UAUUAAUUUAAUUUCACCAACUUGAACAUACACAAUAGUUCACCUAUGUUCCUUCAGCUCUCGUGUCCUCAUCUACUUAUAUUUCUUUCGAUCAUUGUUUGUUCAGACAAUCAGCCUGUAACGACACUGGUCGUGUUUUUUGGCUGCAGCUCACGAUGACAGGUAAUAUUAAUGUUGAUGCCGACACAGUCAGUCUGGCCGUCAAACACUGAAACGACGCUGCCCGGCCGUCAGAAACUCAACACCACCAGCUGCUGGAAGAAAACCUCUGGUUUGUAUUUCAAUCCAUUUACAACAAACCAGCAUCUGCUGCAGUUUUUUCCAUCGUCUCGAGGGAAACGAGAGUCAUCAGAACUGGAACUGGACUCCUUCGUCCUCCACUGGUCCAGAUUUAAAACCGUGUGGUGACUCCGGCGCUGGUCCAACACACAGAUGUUGUUCAGGUGAAGUUUCAGUUAAGCAUCAAACAAACGCUUUAUUCUGAUUCCUCAGGUUUUAUGAAAAGUUUUUCAGUUUUGGAUCAAGUCCUGUACUGACAGAGGCCGUGUCUGUGACUGUUAGCAUUAGUAUUAGCAGAUGAUGUCAGUUGCUGAAAUGAACAUCAGCCUGUUCCAGUCACAGCCGAACGCCAAAAACAAAAAGUUUCUCUGAUGUUUCUGUUCUUUGUGCAAAUACAAAUCGCAUGAAUUUAAUUAAAUUAAAUUUAGGGGCUUUUCUUUUUUGAGGGAGCUGAAUCCAGUGGUUUUGUGUUUCGACCGACUCUGCAUAACUUUGGGCUCUGGCCCAUCAGAGGAACAAAGGUUUACGUCACUGCUGUUGAGACUGAAGAUGUCUCUUAGUCCAGCUGCAGUAAAUUUGAAGUCAAGCUGCUUCUCCACGUCUGACAGGAACUGAGAGAAACACUCAACUCUUCAUGGACAUGCAGUUUGAAGACUGGAGAUCAGAGGACAGAGCUACCGUGACCUACAGUGACCUGUGGUGAUCUACGGUGACCUGCAGUGACCUGCGGUGACUUACAGUGACCUGCGGUGAUCUACGGUGACCUGCAGUGACUUACAGUGAUCUACGGUGACCUGCAGUGACUUACAGUGACCUGCGGUGAUCUACAGUGACCUGCAGUGACCUGCGGUGACUUACAGUGACCCGCGGUGAUCUACGGUGACCUGCAGUGACUUACAGUGACCUGCGGUGACCUGCGGUGAUCUACAGUGACCUGCAGUGACUUACAGUGACCUGCGGUGAUCUACGGUGACCUGCAGUGACUUACAGUGACCUGCGGUGACUAACAGUGACCUGCGGUGACUAACAGUGACCUGCGGUGACCUGCGGUGAUCUACGUUGACUUACAGUGACCUGCGGUGACUAACAGGCGACUUGCGGUGACUUACAGUGAUAUACGGUGACAUGCGGUGACCCGCAGUGAUCUACGGUGACCUGCAGUGACCUGCGGUGACUUACAGUGACCUUCGGUGACCUGCGGUGAUCUACGGUGAAUGGCAGUGACCUGCAAGACCUGCGGUGAUGUCUGUACUUUAUGAUGUUGUACUUCUGUGUUGUUGUUGGUCUGAGCUCGACUGACUGACGUUGCUUUCUGUCUAGUUCAGUCUCAGAGUUUCCAGCUGUGCAGGUGGAGGAGACCAAACACAGAGAGUUUGAUCAUCACAUCUCUACGACGUGUCGCUGUCGGACGCAGAAACAACAACAACACCUGGGUUUUGUUUAUGCAGCACAGGAGUUUUAUAAAUUAGACGUGUCUCAUGAUCCCGGGAGGGAGGAACGUUUUGGCAUGAUACAUAAAUAUACAUCUGAUAUAUGGUUAACCUCGUUCUCUCCUCACUCGUCCUCUUUUCUCUCUCUCUGAUGAACACUUGUUGUCUGCAGCUGUCGGCUCAUCGUGGAUUUACCACCUGACUCAGCCUCUGCUCCUCAGGCUCCGCCUCUUCCUCCUC